rnacentral:rRNA from 1 species
AACGAACGCUGGCGGCAUGCCUAACACAUGCAAGUCGAACGAGACCUCCGGGUCUAGUGGCGCACGGGUGCGUAACGCGUGGGAACCUGCCCUUAGGUUCGGAAUAACUCCCCGAAAGGGGUGCUAAUACCGGAUAAUGUCUUCGGACCAAAGAUCUAUCGCCUUUGGAUGGGCCCGCGUUGGAUUAGCUAGUUGGUAGGGUAAUAGCCUACCAAGGCGAGGAUGCAUAGCUGGUCUGAGAGGAUGAUCAGCCACACUGGGACUGAGACACGGCCCAGACUCCUACGGGGGGGAGCAGUGGGGAAUAUUGGGCGAGGGGCGAAAGCCUGAUACAGCAAUGCCGGGUGAGUGAUGAAGGGCUUAGGGUUGUAAAGCUCUUUGACCCGGGAUGAGAAUGACAGUACCGGGAGAAUAAGCACCGGCUAACUACGUG